rnacentral:rRNA from 1 species
UACGAAGGGUGCAAGCGUUGCUCGGAAUUAUUGGGUUUAAAGGGUGCGUAGGUGGACAAUUAAGUCAGUGGUGAAAUCUCCGGGCUUAACCCGGAAACUGCCAUUGAUACUACUUGUCUUGAAUACUUUGGAGGUAAGCGGAAUAUGUCAUGUAGCGGUGAAAAUGCUUAGAUAUGACAUAGAACACCAAUUGCGAAGGCAGCUUACUACACAGUAAUUGACACUGAGGCACGAAAGCGUGGGGAUCAAACAGGA